GGACUACCCGGGUUUCUAAUCCUGUUCGCUCCCCACGCUUUCGCUCCUCAGCGUCAGUAAUGGCCCAGAGAUCCGCCUUCGCCACCGGUGUUCCUCCUGAUAUCUGCGCAUUUCACCGCUACACCAGGAAUUCCGAUCUCCCCUACCACACUCUAGCUAGCCCGUAUCGAAUGCAGACCCGGGGUUAAGCCCCGGGCUUUCACACCCGACGUGACAAGCCGCCUACGAGCUCUUUACGCCCAAUAAUUCCGGACAACGCUUGCGCCCUACGUAUUACCGCGGCUGCUGGCAC
rnacentral:rRNA from 1 species